rnacentral:rRNA from 1 species
AUUGAACGCUGGCGGCAGGCCUAACACAUGCAAGUCGAGCGGCGCGGCAGACGGGGGAGUAAUGCCUAGGAAUCUGCCUGGUAGUGGGGGAUAACGUCCGGAACCGGGCGCUAAUACUGCUUACUAUCAGGUGAGCCUCGGUCGGAGUAGCUAGUUGGUGGGGUAAAGGCCUAACAAGGCGACGAUCCGUAACUGGUCUGAGCGGAUGAGCAGUCACAUGGGAACUGAGACACGGUCCAGGCGCCUACGGGAGGGAGCAGUGGGGAAUGUUGGACAAUGGGCGAAAGCCUGAUCCAGCCAGGCCGCGUGUGUGAAGAAGGUCUUCGGAUGGUAAAGAACGUUUAGGGGGUAGGCGUUACCAGCAGAAUAAGCACCGGCUAACUACGUGCCAGCAGCCGCGGUAAUAC